rnacentral:rRNA from 1 species
ACCCGUCUUGAAACACGGACCAAGGAGUCUAACAUGUGCGCGAGUUUUUGGGUUGUAAAACCUAGAGGCGCAAUGAAAGUGAAGGUCUCGCCUCGCGCGGACCGAGGGAAGAUGGAGUGCGCGUCAGCGUGUCUCCCGCAUUCCCGGGGCGUCUCGUUCUCAUUGCGAGUUGAGGCGCACCCAGAGCGUACACGUUGGGACCCGAAAGAUGGUGAACUAUGCCUGGCCAGGACGAAGUCAGGGGAAACCCUGAUGGAGGUCCGUAGCGAUUCUGACGUGCAAAUCGAUCGUCGGAGCUGGGUAUAGGNNA